rnacentral:rRNA from 1 species
UACGAGGAGCCCAAACGUUAUUCGGAAUUACUGGGCUUAAAGAGUCCGUAGGCGGCGCGGAAAGUGGGGUGUGAAAUCCCUCGGCUCAACCGAGGAAUUGCGCUCCAAACUGCCGUGCUUGAGGAACCUAGAGGUGAGCAGAACUGAUGGUGGAGCGGUGAAAUGCGUUGAUAUCAUCAGGAAUACCGGAGGCGAAGGCGGCUCACUGGGGGUUUUCUGACGCUGAGGACGAAAGCCAGGGUAGCGGAACGGG